GUGAAGAUGGCGGGGUUUUCCGAUGGGUGAAGAGGCUUUACUGGGGCUGA
rnacentral:snoRNA from 1 species